rnacentral:RNase_P_RNA from 1 species
AGGACAGGUUGGAUUGCUGCGCCCCGGUGUUAUAAUCGGGGUGAGGAAAGUCCGGACACUCGCCUUUUUUCACGUCCGCAAGGAGGAGGAGAGAAGGCAGCAGGUACUGGGUAAUCCCCAGACGCCGCGAGGCGCGAGGUGCGAACAGAGACGGUCCCGAUCCGCAAGGGUCGGACCGCCCGGAUACGGUAUCCGGGUGAACCGGACAGUGAUGUCCGGAGUGAAACGGCUAAAUCCUUAUCUGAGUGCAAGGUCGUGUCAUUACACGGACUUACGCUGGUCGGAUACCACGGGGUGGUAUCGGGUCCGUGUGAGUCCGUGUGAUGGAGUGCCGCAUGGAAUCGGCGAGUAAUCGUCCGAUCAAGAGCAAUGGCAAUCGUCCUGUUUCGGCAGGAUACAGAAUCCGGCUUAUAGACCUGUCCUGGAA